rnacentral:rRNA from 1 species
UACGAAGGGGGCUAGCGUUGUUCGAAAUCACUGGGCGUAAAGGGCGCGUAGGCGGCUUUAUAAGUCGGGGGUGAAAGCCUGUGGCUCAACCACAGAAUUGCCUUCGAUACUGUAGAGCUUGAGACCGGAAGAGGUAAGUGGAACUGCGAGUGUAGAGGUGAAAUUCGUAGAUAUUCGCAAGAACACCAGUGGCGAAGGCGGCUUACUGGUCCGGUUCUGACGCUGAGGCGCGAAAGCGUGGGGAGCAAACAGG